UACGUAGGUGGCAAGCGUUGUCCGGAUUUAUUGGGUUUAAAGGGUGCGUAGGCGGCUUUGUAAGUCAGUGGUGAAAUAUGGCAGCUCAACUGUCAAGGUGCCAUUGAUACUGCAGAGCUUGAGUACAGAUGAGGUAGGCGGAAUUGACGGUGUAGCGGUGAAAUGCGCAGAUAUCAGGAGGAACACCAAUGGCGAAGGCAGCUCGCUGGGACGGUACUGACGCUGAGACGCGAAAGCGUGGGGAGCAAACAGG
rnacentral:rRNA from 1 species